UAUAAAUCAUAUUUUCAGGGCUAAAUAAU
rnacentral:piRNA from 1 species